rnacentral:rRNA from 1 species
AGGACGAACGCUGGCGGCGUGCUUAACACAUGCAAGUCGAACGAGGGAAUUCUUUUCGGAGAAUAUACCGAGUGGCAAACGGGUGAGUAACGCGUAGGCAACCUGCCUUCAAGAUGGGGACAACAGUCCGAAAGGGCUGCUAAUACCGAAUGACAUGUCUGAACCGCAUGGGACGGACAGCAAAGACGGCCUCCAAACUAUGCUGUCGCUUGAAGAUGGGGAUGCGUCUGAUUAGCUUGUUGGCGGGGUAACGGCCCACCAAGGCGACGAUCAGUAGGGGUUCUGAGAGGAAGGUCCCCCACAUUGGAACUGAGACACGGCCCAGACUCCUACGGGAGGCAGCAGUGGGGAAUAUUGCACAAUGGGGGAAACCCUGAUGCAGCAACGCCGCGUGAGUGAUGACGGCCUUCGGGUUGUAAAGCUCUGUCUUCAGGGACGAUAAUGACGGUACCUGAGGAGGAAGCCACGGCUAACUACGUG